rnacentral:rRNA from 1 species
UACAGAGGGGGCAAGCGUUGUUCGGAAUUACUGGGCGUAAAGGGCGCGUAGGCGGCCUGCUAAGUCGAACGUGAAAUCCCCGAGCUCAACUCGGGAACUGCGUCCGAUACUGGCAGGCUUGAAUCCGGGAGAGGGAUGCGGAAUUCCUAGUGUAGCGGUGAAAUGCGUAGAGAUUAGGAAGAACACCAGUGGCGAAGGCGACUCUCUGGACUGUAACUGACACUGAGGCUCGAAAGCGUGGGGAGCAAACAGG